UAAAAUUAAUUAUUAUUACAUUCAAUUUCGACUUGAAAAAUAAUAAUUAUUUUAUUUAUAAA
rnacentral:tRNA from 1 species